rnacentral:rRNA from 1 species
GAUGAACGCUGGCGGCGUGCCUAAUACAUGCAAGUCGAGCGAACGGACGAGAAGCUUGCUUCUCUGAUGUUAGCGGCGGACGGGUGAGUAACACGUGGAUAACCUACCUAUAAGACUGGGAUAACUUCGGGAAACCGGAGCUAAUACCGGAUAAUAUUUUGAACCGCAUGGUUCAAAAGUGAAAGACGGUCUUGCUGUCACUUAUAGAUGGAUCCGCGCUGCAUUAGCUAGUUGGUAAGGUAACGGCUUACCAAGGCAACGAUGCAUAGCCGACCUGAGAGGGUGAACUGCCACACUGGAACUGAGAGACGGUCCAGACUCCUACGGGAGGCAGCAGUAGGGAAUCUUCCGCAAUGGGCGAAAGCCUGACGGAGCAACGCCGCGUGAGUGAUGAAGGUCUUCGGAUCGUAAAACUCUGUUAUUAGGGAAGAACAUAUGUGUAAGUAACUGUGCACAUCUUGACGGUACCUAAUCAGAAAGCCACGGCUAACUACGUG